UCGGUCUCGCCGAGGAGAGGGGCGGAUCUCCGAGAGAUGGUCAGCCAAGAUGGCGGUGGCGGCUGCGGCGGCGAGAGUUUGGGGAGCAAGUCGAGGCUUGGGACGGGCCGGCCUACCGCUCCUGCGGCUGCUUGGGGCUCGUGGGCUGGCUAGAUCUCACCCCCACUGGUGGCAGCGACAGCAGCACUUCUCGUCCCUGGAUGACAAGCCACAGUUCCCAGGGGCCUCAGCGGAGUUCAUAGAUAAGCUCGAAUUCAUCCAGCCCAAUGUCAUCUCUGGGAUCCCCAUCUACCGCGUCAUGGACCGGCAGGGCCAGAUCAUCAACCCCAGCGAGGAUCCUCACCUGCCCCAGGAGAAGGUGCUCAAAUUCUACAAGAGCAUGACCCUGCUCAACACCAUGGACCGCAUCCUCUAUGAGUCCCAGAGGCAGGGCCGCAUAUCCUUCUACAUGACCAACUAUGGCGAGGAGGGGACGCACGUGGGGAGCGCGGCAGCCCUGGACGACACAGACCUGGUGUUUGGCCAGUACCGGGAGGCAGGUGUGCUCAUGUACCGGGACUACCCGCUGGAGCUGUUCAUGGCCCAGUGCUACAGCAACGCGAGCGACCUGGGCAAGGGGCGCCAGAUGCCCGUCCACUACGGCUGCAGGGAGCGCCACUUCGUCACCAUCUCCUCUCCACUGGCCACGCAGAUCCCCCAGGCGGUUGGGGCGGCCUACGCGGCGAAGCGGGCCAACGCCAACAGAGUGGUCAUCUGUUACUUCGGAGAGGGGGCGGCCAGUGAGGGGGAUGCCCACGCCGGCUUCAACUUCGCCGCCACCCUCGAGUGCCCCAUCAUCUUCUUCUGCCGGAACAACGGCUAUGCCAUCUCCACGCCCACCUCGGAGCAGUACCGCGGGGAUGGCAUCGCGGCUCGAGGCCCCGGGUACGGCAUCCUGUCCAUCCGCGUGGACGGCAAUGAUGUGUUUGCCGUGUACAACGCCACCAAGGAGGCCCGGCGGCGGGCCGUGGCGGAGAACCAGCCCUUCCUCAUUGAGGCCAUGACCUACAGGAUUGGGCACCACAGCACCAGUGACGACAGCUCGGCGUACCGCUCGGUGGACGAGGUCAACUACUGGGACAAGCAGGACCACCCCAUCUCCCGGCUGCGGCAUUACCUGCAGAGCCGCGGCUGGUGGGACGACGAGCAGGAGAAGGCCUGGAGGAAGCAGUCCCGCAAGAAGGUAAUGGAAGCCUUUGAGCAGGCUGAGCGGAAGCUGAAGCCCAACCCCAACUUGAUCUUCUCGGAUGUGUAUCAGGAGAUGCCUGCCCAGCUCCGCAAGCAGCAGGAGUCUCUGGCACGUCAUCUCCAGACCUAUGGCGAACACUACCCGCUGGACCACUUUGAGAAGUCUUGCCCUUCCGUGUAAGAGCUGUUCCCUUCUGGGGCGCGGUGAGCACCUGCUCCCUGGAGCUCGCUGAGGCUUGACCUGCGGCACUUGCGGUCUAGUGACAGCAGGGGGCGCUCGUGUUCCCCAGCCAGGGAUUGAACCUAUGCCUGAGAGGGUAACAGGCAAGAAGGCCAGAGGUUCCCAAGCAGCAGGAGGAAAUAAACUGCAAGUGGCAGACGUCCUGCCUUGAGCUAACCAACGUCUUUCUUGUGGAAAUGUUUUUUAAACUACGUACUUGCUUUAGAAUUUGCCUUUCUUCAAAAUGGUUCCACCCAAGACUAACUUUUUUUUUCUUUUCUCAAACCUUGGGCUGAUAAUGGCUCAACAAGCCAGUGUUCCUAUCAAUUGUUUUAUGGCUGGGGGAUGCCAUCCUGUCUAUUGUGGGAGAGGUCUGGUCAAACUCCCUCGGCCUUGAGCUGUCUCUCAUAUCUGAUUAAUAGCUUUCUAACAGAUGUAAAACACCUUGCUAAAAACUAGCAAGGGGGCACUCUUUCUGUCCCCUUAUGAUAUCCAUGUCAGAAGCUUUCUCUAUACUCUAAUAAAACUUUGUUACACAAAAAGUU